CCUGAGAAACCCGAAAGAUCGAAUGGGAGAUUCAUCGUCAGCGAUUCUGGUACGUGUGCGGUUCGCGAUGUAGCGCGCGCGCGCGAUGACUUCGGUCUCCGCGUGUCGCGUCGCACGCGUCCGUAUGUUUUUUUAUCGCCGGAAUCGUCGGCGUGCACUUCUCCCCUUGUAGGACGUCGCGACCCGUUGGGUGUCAGGUCUACGGCACGGUAGGGUAGCCUGUCACGUUUGCGCGCUUCACGGCGUGUCACGCGGGACAGACCUCCGUUCGCCCGACCGGCUGCCCGGCGGUACUCGCAGGGUAUCUGGCCGCAGAUAUACGAACUGCGUCCUGCCCGUCGCAAGCGCGGCAAGUGUCUCACCCGGCUGUUUACGGAUCUAACGCCGUCACCGGGCCUUGCCAGCUGUUGGUCGACGGUGUUUCUAGGACUGGCUAACGAAAUUAUGAUACCGGUCGGCGACGCUACUGCUUUGGGUACUUUCAGGACCCGUCUUGAAACACGGACCAAGGAGUCUAACAUGUGCGCGAGUCAUUGGGAGAUAUGUUUAAGCCUAAAGGCGCAAUGAAAGUAAAGAUCCGGCCUCGCCCGAUCGAGGGAGGAUGGCCGCGUCACGAUGCGGUCCCGCACUCCGGGGCGUCUCGUUCUCAUUGCGAGAAAGGCGCACCCAGAGCGUACACGUUGGGACCCGAA
rnacentral:rRNA from 1 species